AUUGAACGCUGGCGGCAGGCCUAACACAUGCAAGUCGAGCGGAUGAAGGGAGCUUGCUCCUGGAUUCAGCGGCGGACGGGUGAGUAAUGCCUAGGAAUCUGCCUGGUAGUGGGGGAUAACGUCCGGAAACGGGCGCUAAUACCGCAUACGUCCUGAGGGAGAAAGUGGGGGAUCUUCGGACCUCACGCUAUCAGAUGAGCCUAGGUCGGAUUAGCUAGUUGGUGGGGUAAAGGCCUACCAAGGCGACGAUCCGUAACUGGUCUGAGAGGAUGAUCAGUCACACUGGAACUGAGACACGGUCCAGACCCCUACGGGAGGCAGCAGGGGGGAAUUUUGGACAAGGGGCGAAAGCCUAAUCCAGCCAUGCCGGGUGUGUGAAGAAGGUUUUCGGAUUGUAAAGAACUUUAAGUUGGGAGGAAGGGCAGUAAGUUAAUACCUUGCUGUUUUGACGUUACCAAAAGAAGAAGCACCGGAUAACUUCGU
rnacentral:rRNA from 1 species